rnacentral:rRNA from 1 species
ACGGCUCAGUAACACGUAGCUAACUUACCCUUAGGUCGAGGAUAACCUCGGGAAACUGAGGAUAAUACUCGAUAGAAAAUUUUUUCUGGAACGAAAAAUUUUUGAAAUUCGGGCCUAAGGAUGGGGCUGCGGCUGAUUAGCUAGUUGUUGGUGUAAAAGACUAACAAGGCGAUGAUCAGUAAGGGUUCUUAGCGGAAGAGCCCUGAGAAGGAAUCUGAGACACUAUUCCUAGCUCUACGGGGUGCAGCAGUUAAGGAACUUUUCCAAUGCUCGAAAGAGUGAGAAAAUCAACCAGAGUGUUUUCUUUUAGAAAACUUUUGUCAGCUGUAAAAGGGCUGAUGAAUAAGGACUGGGCAAGACCGGUGCCAGCCGCCGCGGUAAUCCCGGCGGUCCGAGUCGCAUCCACAUUUAUUGGGUCUAAAACAUCCGUAGCUUGUUAUGUAAGUCUCUUGUGAAAUCUCAUUUCUCAAACUUGAGGCGUGCAAGAGAUACUACAUUGCCAGAGAUCGGAAGACGUAAAGAGAACGACGGAGGUAGUGGUAAAAUAUGUUAAUCUUCGUCGGACUAACAAUGGCGAAGGCACUUUACGAGUACGAAUCUGACAGUGAGGGAUGAAGGCUAGGGGCGCAAAAGGGAUUAGAUACCCCUGUAGUCCUAGCAGUAAACACUGCUCACUAAACAUCAGGACCUCUUCGAGAGGUUUUGGUGCUGUAGCGAAGGCGAAGAGUGAGCUACCUGGGAAGUAUAGUCGCAAGGCCGAAACUUAAAGGAAUUGGCGGGGGAGCAC